CUACGGGCCGCAGCAGUGGGGAAUAUUGGGCAAUGGGCGCAAGCCUGACCCAGCAACGCCGCGUGAGGGAAGAAUGUCUUCGGAUUGUAAACCUCUGUCCUUAGGGACGAAAAAAAUGACGGUACCUAAGGAGGAAGCUCCGGCUAACUACGUGCCAGCAGCCGCGGUAAUACGUAGGGAGCAAGCGUUGUCCGGAAUUAUUGGGCGUAAAGGGUGAGUAGGCGGUAAUCCAAGUCAGAUGUGAAAGACCCGGGCUUAACUCGGGAGGUGCAUUUGAAACUGGGUUACUUGAGUACAGGAGAGGUAAGUGGAAUUCCUAGUGUAGCGGUGAAAUGCGUAGAUAUUAGGAGGAACACCAGUGGCGAAGGCGACUUACUGGACUGUCACUGACGCUGAGGCACGAAAGCGUGGGGAGCAAACAGGAUUAGAUACCCCGGUAGUC
rnacentral:rRNA from 1 species